rnacentral:lncRNA from 1 species
UGGUAGGUAACUUUUUUGUUUAUCUAGGAAGGUCGUCAAAUCAGCAAAUAGUACAAACAAAACUACUCCACCAAUAAUAAUAAUUCCUGUAUAUCCCAUGAUUUUAGAAGAUAGUCGACCAUCAUAUGCAGAUGUAUGCCGUCGGAUAUAUCCGUUCGUCGAGCGUUUGUCAAUUUUAAAAUUCCAACUUUCUUCGGGCAAAUUUGAUCGAUUAGAAAGCAAUUGACAACUGCAUACUUGAGUGCUGUUGAUAAAGAAGGUUCCAAGCAUUGUGCACUCUACUGGUAUAUACUCUGUACUUGGUUUAAAUGUGGUU